UCGCUCUGACACCCGGUGCCGCCCUACCAGCGACUGGGACUGCGGAGGGGCGGGCCUCAGGCGAGACGAAGACCCUCGGGGGCGGGCCCGACUUGGCCCCGCCUCCUCCCGUAGGGCGUGCAGGAACCGCGAGACGUGGCAGCGCCGUGCCCCGGAGGGUGGGGGCGUCGUCCUGGAGUCUCGCGGGGGACCUAGACGGCUUCAAAUCCGACCGAGUGCGUUCUCAGACGCUGGGGGAAAAUCAGAAGUGGCGACCGGCAGGUAGAUAAGAAAACUGAGUCAAAUGUAAAGAUGAAUGAUGCUUUUGGAUGGGAAGACUCUAUCAUAAAGAUCUCAAUUUUCUGUAAGUAAAAUUACAAAUUUAACCUGAUUCCUAUAAAAGAACUAAUAGGAUUAAUUAUUAUGUGUGUGUUUUUAUUACAGUUUGUUUCCUCUGACAGGUUACGAGACAAACACCCCGUUUACUUGAGUUUUAAAAGGGUAUUUCCUUUGCCCCACUUGAAUGACCAAUAAAGACAUAAGUCCAGUUGGCAAAG